rnacentral:rRNA from 1 species
UACGUAGGGCGCAAGCGUUGUCCGGAAUUAUUGGGCGUAAAGAGCUCGUAGGCGGUCUGUUGCGUCCGCUGUGAAAACCCGCAGCUCAACUGUGGGCUUGCAGCUGAUACGGGCAGGCUUGAGUUCGGUAGGGGAGAGUGGAAUUCCUGGUGUAGCGGUGAAAUGCGCAGAUAUCAGGAGGAACACCGGUGGCGAAGGCGGGUCUCUGGGCCGAUACUGACGCUGAGGAGCGAAAGCGUGGGGAGCGAACAGG